rnacentral:rRNA from 1 species
UACGAAGGGGGCUAGCGUUGCUCGGAAUGACUGGGCGUAAAGGGCGCGUAGGCGGAUGGUACAGUCAGAUGUGAAAUUCCCGGGCUCAACCUGGGGGCUGCAUUUGAUACGUAUGAUCUUGAGUGGGGAAGAGGGUCGUGGAAUCCCCAGUGUAGAGGUGAAAUUCGUAGAUAUUGGGAAGAACACCGGUGGCGAAGGCGGCGACCUGGUCCUUUUACUGACGCUGAGGCGCGAAGGCGU